GAGUUUGAUCCUGGCUCAGAACGAACGCUGGCGGCGUGCUUAACACAUGCAAGUCAGGGAGAAAGUCUCUUCGGGGAUGAUUAAACCGGCGCACGGGUGAGUAACACGUGAGUGACCUGCCUUUUAGACUGGAACAACUUACCGAAAGGUGAGCUAAUGCCGGAUGAGUUAUAUAAGUGCAUGUUUAUAUAGGAAAAGUUGGGGAGACCUGACGCUGAAAGAUGGACUCGCGUCCCAUUAGCUAGUUGGUAGGGUAAUGGCCUACCAAGGCGACGAUGGGUAGCCGGCCUGAGAGGGUGGCCGGCCACACUGGGACUGAGACACGGCCCAGACUCCUACGGGAGGCAGCAGUGGGGAAUUUUGCGCAAUGCUCGUAAGAGUGACGCAGCGACGCCGCGUGAAUGACGAAGGCCUUCGGGUCGUAAAGUUCUUUCGACAGGGAAGAAAAUGCCUAUAAGUAACUGUGUAUGUAUUGACGGUACCUGUAUAAGCAGCCCCGGCUAACUCCGUGCCAGCAGCCGCGGUAAUACGGAGGGGGCGAGCGUUGUUCGGAGCGACUGGGCGUAAAGAGCACGUAGGCGGUGUUGUAAGUCAUUAGUCAAAGACUAGAGCUCAACUUUAGUAAGGCUAGUGAUACUAUAAUACUAGAGUAUCAGAGAGGAUUGCAGAAUUCCUGGUGUAGCGGUGAAAUGCGUAGAUAUCAGGAGGAAUACCGUUAGCGAAGGCGGCAAUCUGGCUGGAAACUG
rnacentral:rRNA from 1 species